GAUUCUGGCUCAGGAUGAACGCUGGCGGCGUGCUUAACACAUGCAAGUCGAACGAAGCAGCUUCUGCUGCAAGAAAGCUGACUUAGUGGCGGACGGGUGAGUAACGCGUGGGUAACCUGCCUCAUACAGGGGGAUAACAGUUGGAAACGACUGCUAAGACCGCAUAACCCGCUAGUGUCGCAUGACACGGACGGAAAAAUAUUUAAUUUUAACGAGUUAAAAUUUGGUAUGAGAUGGGCCCGCGUCUGAUUAGCUAGUUGGUAAGGUAACGGCUUACCAAGGCGACGAUCAGUAGCCGACUUGAGAGAGUGAUCGGCCACAUUGGGACUGAGACACGGCCCAAACUCCUACGGGAGGCAGCAGUGGGGAAUAUUGGACAAUGGGGGAAACCCUGAUCCAGCCGACGCCGCGUGAGUGAAGAAGUAUUUCGGUAUGUAAAGCUCUAUCAGCAGGGAAGAUAAUGACAGUACCUGACUAAGAAGCCCCGGCUAACUACGUGCCAGCCGCCGC
rnacentral:rRNA from 1 species